rnacentral:rRNA from 1 species
AUUGAACGCUGGCGGCAGGCUUAACACAUGCAAGUCGAGCGGAGAGAGGUAGCUUGCUACUGAUCUUAGCGGCGGACGGGUGAGUAAUGCUUAGGAAUCUGCCUAUUAGUGGGGGACAACAUUUCGAAAGGAAUGCUAAUACCGCAUACGUCCUACGGGAGAAAGCAGGGGAUCUUCGGACCUUGCGCUAAUAGAUGAGCCUAAGUCGGAUGAGCUAGUUGGUGGGGUAAAGGCCUGCCAAGGCGACGAUCUGUAGCGGGUCUGAGAGGAUGAUCCGCCACACUGGGACUGAGACACGGCCCAGACUCCUACGGGAGGCAGCAGUGGGGAAUAUUGGACAAUGGGCGCAAGCCUGAUCCAGCCAUGCCGCGUGUGUGAAGAAGGCCUUAUGGUUGUAAAGCACUUUAAGCGAGGAGGAGGCUACUUUAGUUAAUACCCAGAGAUAGUGGACGUUACUCGCAGAAUAAGAACCGGCUAACUCUGUGCCAGCCGCCGCCGUAA